rnacentral:rRNA from 1 species
ACUCCUACGGGAGGCAGCAGUGGGGAAUAUUGGACAAUGGGCGCAAGCCUGAUCCAGCCAUACCGCGUGGGUGAAGAAGGCCUUCGGGUUGUAAAGCCCUUUUGUUGGGAAAGAAAUCCAGCUGGUUAAUACCCGGUUGGGAUGACGGUACCCAAAGAAUAAGCACCGGCUAACUUCGUGCCAGCAGCCGCGGUAAU